rnacentral:misc_RNA from 1 species
UGCACUUCCGCUGGUCCGGCU